rnacentral:rRNA from 1 species
GACGAACGCUGGCGGCGUGCCUAAUACAUGCAAGUCGAACGAACCGCGCCUGAGUGCUUGCACUUGGUCAGGGUGAGUGGCGAACGGGAGAGUAACACGUGCGUAACCUGACUCAGGGAUGGGGAUAGCAGACGGAGACGAAUGCUAAUACCGCAUAGGACAUAGGUUGACAUGAUCCAGAGGUGAAGGGUGGCGCAAGCUAACGCUAAGAGAUGGACCCGCGGUGCGUUAGCUAGUUGGUAGGGUAAAUGCCUACCAAGGCGGUGAUGCAGAGCCGACCGGAGAGGGUGAUCGGCCACAUUGGGACUGAGCCACGGCCCAAGCUACUGAGGGAGGCCGCAGUAGGGAAUCUUCGGCAGUGGACGCGAGUCUUGCGGAGCAACGCCGCGUGUGAGAAGAAGAUCUUGGGAUCGUAAUGAUGUGUUGUUAGUGAAGAACAGCUCAUGGCUUAACCGCUAUGCGUGUGACGGUAUCUAGUCAGAAAGCCACGGCUAACUACGUG